UUUUCAUAUUUCAUUUCUCUUUUUUCUCACUUCUGCUCUCAGCCUCUCUUCUCUUCCCCUCAACCGAUGCAGAAAGAGAAAUGGAAUCGAUUGAUAAAUCAGUUUCGAUUUAUAGAUGCGUGAUUGGUAAACCAGUUUUGAUUCAGUUUGUUCAUCAUUUUUAUUAGGAUUUUUAGGCCCUCAAAAAUCGAUUUUAGGGUUUUAGUCUAUUAUGAUUCAUUUUUUCGAUUUUAGUUUGUUCGCCGGAGUUGAACUUUGAAGAACUGAUCUUCACUCUCAGCUAAUCGUGAGAAAGCAUCUGUUCUACUUUGUUUAAUUUAGAUGGGAAUGAAGUUGAUAAGCUGAUUGAGAAGCUACAGGGGGUUGGGAUUGCUUCUGGUAGUGCUGAUGGUGCUGUUCUAACUACUUCUAAGCAAUGAACUGGAGUUGAAGGAGAUACUGAGAUAAUUGUUAUUGGUAGUUGAAGCUAGAAUGUUUGAGCUAAUGGGUUGUCGUUGUUUGCAGUUCAGGCUAAUGGGUUGUCAUUGUUUGUGUGUAUGAU